CUUGUGUCAGGAACAAGAGCAGCAGAGGGCUUGUGUUGAGGGGGCAGCAAAAUAAUGUCUGUUCCGAUGGGGCCAGGGGCAGGUGGAGGCAGAGGGCUUCUGGCUUCCAGGACAACUUGAACUCAGAAGGGGCCAGGGUGAGGGAGCUUCUGAAGGGUGGACCUGGCCCUAACCAUAUGCUGCAGGCUGACAGGCACAACGGAACCUGAGCUAGAGGAGGAGUGGCCCCUGAGGGUUCCUAAGGAUGCUGACUAGUCUAUGGAGGGAAAUGGAGCAAAAGCAGGACCUGUACUCUUCCCAGCAAAAGCAGGACCUGUACUUGAGGACAUGCGGAGGCCCUAGGCAAAUGUGCUCCUGGGAAAUGCGAGUUUGUCAUCCAGCAAAAGUCCAAGAGUGUUCAAAAUAGGAAUCAUCCAGUCUGGGAUAGUCCAGUUUCUCCAUCAACAACAAAAUGGAUGACUACUCCAAAGCAAAGGACAAAGAUACAAGAAUACAGGAGGAAAUUCUCUAGCCCCGUGGCCCACUUCCCUUCAUGGCACAUGGGGCCUUCCUUCCUCCAGAGGAUAUUUACCAGCUGUGUCCGAAAGGCCUGUCUUCGAUGGAGCCCCUUAGAAGUGAAUGGGAGUCGUGCUUGUACAGUUCAUUGAUUAAUCCAGCUCACGGCUUGGCACAUGGUGGCUUCCUGCUGACUUUGCUAAGUGAAUGAACAUGUGACCAAAUGCACACAUCACUAACACUCAACACCCUCAAAGAUCCAGAACCCAUCUUAGGAUGUCUCCUCCACUCGCAUGCUGCCUCUCUGAAUUCUCUAUUAUUUGCACAUAGCAGGGUAGAGUAGAGUCACUUACCUCUGCUAGGGAGCACACAUGACACACGCGGAGCUCGUGGACCACUGUGAACAGCUGCGUCUGCUGAACAUGGCUGAGAGUACAGAUCCUAGUCUCAAACUUGAUAUGCCACUGAAGAUGACCGUGAAUCUCUGAUUCUCCUGUCUCUACCUGCUGACGUCUGUGAUUACAGAUGUCCAUCCUGGCAGUGUCUCAAGUCCGGAACCAAAGUAGAGGCCACAGAGGAGUGGUACUUAAAACUGGCUUGCUCUGUGGCUUACUCAGUGUGUUCUUGUACUACCUCCCAAGGACUACCUGCCUAGGGGUAGUACCACCUACAGUGGGCUGGACCUCCCAUACCAAUCAUUAAUCAAGAAAUUGCCACCAUGAAUUUGCCUACAGGACAGUCUGAUGGAGGAAUUUCUCUUUCCAAAUGAUUCUAGUUUGUGUCAAAAUGAUAAAGAACUAACCAGGACAGCUACCUUAAAAGCAAGGAUACAAUGAAAAACUAUUUGGUUAGUUAUCAGGUACUGUCAGGGUCUGAUUUUCCUUUCCUUUCCUUUCCUUUCCUUUCCUUUCCUUUCCUUUCCUUUCC